rnacentral:rRNA from 1 species
UACGUAGGGUGCAAGCGUUGUCCGGAAUUAUUGGGCGUAAAGAGCUCGUAGGCGGCUUGUCACGUCGACUGUGAAAACCCGAAGCUCAACUUCGGGCCUGCAUCCGAAACUGCCCGACUAGAGGUAGGUAGGGAGAUCGGAAUUCCGUGGUGUAGCGGUGAAAAUGCGCAGAUAUCAGGAGGAACACCGGUGGCGAAGGCGGGUCUCUGGGCCGAUACUGACGCUGAGGAGCGAAAGCGUGGGGAGCGAACAGG